rnacentral:rRNA from 1 species
GUAGGGAAUAUUAGUAAUGGGCGAAAGCCUGAACUAACAACGCCGCGUGUGCGAAGAAGGCCUUCGGGUUGUAAAGCACUUUUUGAGAGGAUGAGGAAGGACGGUACUCUCAGAAUAAGUCUCGGCUAACUACGUGCCAGCAGCCGCGGUAACACGUAGGAGGCGAACGUUAUCCGGAUUUACUGGGCGUCAAGCGCGUGUAGGUGGUUUGGUAAGUAGGGCGUGAAAGCUCCUGGCUCAACUGGGAGAGGCCGUUCUAAACUGCCGAACUAGAGGAUGGUAGAGGGAGGUGGAAUUCCGGGUGUAGCGGUGGAAUGCGCAGAUAUCCGGAGGAACACCAGUGGCGAAAGCGGCCUCCUGGACCACUCCUGACACUCAGACGCGAAAGCUAGGGUAGCAAACGGGAUUAGAAACCCUGGUAGUCC